rnacentral:rRNA from 1 species
GACGAACCGUGCGAACGUUAAUCGGAUUCAUUGGGCUUAAAGGGCGCGUAGGCGGCGGCGUAAGUUCGUGGUGAAAUCCCAUCGGCUCAACCGUGGAAUUGCUUCGAAUACUGCGUCGCUCGAGGGAGAUAGGGGACCGCAGAACUGCCGGUGGAGCGGUGAAAUGUGUUGAUAUCGGCGGGAAUGCCAGUGCCGAAAGGGGCGGUCUGGACCUCUUCUGACGCUGAGGCGCGAAAGCUAGGGGAGCAAACAGG